rnacentral:rRNA from 1 species
AUACGUAGGGGGCAAGCGUUAUCCGGAUUUACUGGGUGUAAAGGGAGCGUAGACGGUUCUGCAAGUCUGGAGUGAAAGCCCGGGGCUCAACCCCGGGACUGCUUUGGAAACUGUGGAACUGGAGUGCAGGAGAGGUAAGUGGAAUUCCUAGUGUAGCGGUGAAAUGCGUAGAUAUUAGGAGGAACACCAGUGGCGAAGGCGGCUUACUGGACUGUAACUGACGCUGAGUCACGAAAGCGUGGGUAGC